UACGGGGGGGGUAAGGCGUUGUUCGGAAUUACUGGGCGUAAAGGGGUCUGUAGGUGGCUUGCUAAGUCAGACGUGAAAUCCCUCAGCUUAACUGGGGAACUGCGUCUGAGACUGGCGAGCUUGAGUGCAGGAGAGGAACGCGGAAUCAGGUGUAGCGGUGAAAUGCGUAGAUAUCGAGAGGAACACCUGCGGCGAAGGCGGGUUGCUGGGCUGACACUGACGCUGAAGCGCGAAAGCUAGGGGAGCGAACGGG
rnacentral:rRNA from 1 species